GUAGAUUUGGUGCGGAUCACAGGACUGCAUUACUCCACGGGAACCACCGUUCGCUGAAGUGCUGCUCCCGUGCACUGGGAAUGCGACUGCAACUCGUGUUCGUGUUUAACGUGAGUGAUAAAUGUGUGAAUGAAAACGUGAGUUACAGCGUUGGUGAAAUUGAUCGUGACGGAAUUAGAUUUUAAAAAGUGAUUUAGAUUGUGAAAAAAGUGCUUUGAGAAAGGCAAAGGAAAAGUUUUCUCUGUUACUCAAUCCAGUAGAGCGCUUGCAGUGUAGAAGUUAAUAAAUGUUAGUAUUUCAAAAGUGAUAGGAAGUGGGGAAUGUGCUCUCAGUGAAAAAUAUAUCUAAUUCUAAUUCGGCGAGCAACCAUCAAGCAACGCAACACGAUAGUGUUAUUCUUCUUACGGACGGCUUUGGCGUAGGAUAUAAAAUUACGUUUCCCCGCUGAACAUCCAGGAGAACUGUCCGAGAACGCGCAUCACGUAGCAUGUCAAUGAUGCAGCCGCCAUCCUUAGGGCAAGCAUGAAGUCCUAGCGCCAACCGCCAAUCGUAGAUCAGCCCAACCCAGCCCAGCUGAACACCUUAAAUUCCCGCUUCGUUGCACCGAUCCGUGUAGAUUGGCAUUGAAUCCCGUUGGUUGGUGCGACCAACCUGACGAACAACAACCAGAAACAGCAGCAGAAGCAUCACUCAAAUCGGCACCGGUAUCAGGAGAUGGUUUCAAUCAGUCCACUCGAAGGCAACCGCACCACCAAUCGCACCAACCAUCGCUCAUCGUAGGAUCCUGGGUCCAGGGUGUCGCCCUCGCUUCGCGAGUCCAAUGAAAUACCGAGCUGCUGGUGUGCUGCCGGUGGCACCAUGCGUGAACCUUCAGCGAUUGAUGCCUGGCAGCCCGGGCCCGAGCCGGGCAAGGCGCCAACAUAAGACGGCCAACGGUGUCAGCAGCUCGCGGCAUCAUUUAGCGGAGCCAAUCCAUUGCCAUCGCCGCCAACGCCACCGCUGCCACCACCACCACCAUCCCAUCAAUGCCAGUCCCUUGAGGCACGCCAAAUCACACGAUC